ACACAAACUUUUCAUAUUCACCACCUCUCCCACUGUAUCGUUUACAUUCUUUUAAGACAUGACCGAUCGGUUUAUGCGAUCGGCCAAAUUACCGAUCAAGUCAUAGGACACGGCCGAUUGAUCGGAGCAUCCCUACCUAUGUAUACACAAAUCCGGCGAAACACGGAAGUAAAGCAGCGCCGCCAUUACUGCGGGCCUUGCUGCUGCGGAAGUAGCGUGUUGUUCUCGUAGGCGGCUGUAGCAGAUGUUAGCUGUACUGUACAAAAUGUUAUUUUUAUUUAGUUUUUUUGUACGUAUGCUGUCCAGUGAUGCCGGGAAGAGCGUGUUGUGUGGUUGGCUGUUUUAACAACAGCAUAAAACUACAGGCCUGGAGUAAAACCGUUUGUAAAAUUCACGAACCUUUGUUGCACAUUGACUGCCCAUGUUUACGGCCAUACGGGUUGCACAGAGUUCCUGGUCGAGCGGAGGACCAAGAUGUGCGUCAAAAGUGGAUGAAACACAUAAACCGAGAUGGCUUCACGACAAACAAGAAUACUGUGGUGUGUGGGAUACAUUUUCCUGACGGACAACCUACAAGAGAAAACCCCUAUCCUGUGUUGUUCAUGGGUUAUGAAUGUCAUGAACCGCUUUCAUUGAAAUAUCAUUAGAGGGCCGUCACCGUCACACUUCGCAGACACGGUCGUGCCAAGGUACUUACCCCUGAAAGGAAGUGUAUCCCCGGUCGCGGGAGCGCGCUCGCGUUCAGCAGAAGGUGGGUCAUUGGUUUGACCAAGGUAAAUGAAACUAUAACACAUGAAUUUUUUAAGUUAUAGUUUUACUAUUGUUGUUUUAUCAACGAGGUUUAGCAUAGACCGCUAUCACGUGGCCCAUCUAUCCAAAUUAAUUAUUAUCUGUAGGCUCGAACUUCAUUGAACUGAAUUGAUCGAUUCUCACGAGAAUGUCUAAAGUUACUGAAAAAACCAAGACGAAUUUCACUCAUAAAGCAAACAGCCUGUGGAUAUUAAAUUGUUCUGAAUCCCCACUCCUCCUUCCAUGGUGAAUUAUUAUCAAAAUGAUUUAAUAAUGCAUUGCACUUAAAUAGUAGGCUGGUCAAUGUCAUACACAAAAAGCGAUUGUACAGAUGAUGGCCUAUCAUCAAGUGUUUUAUUUUUUUGAAUACUUUACAUCAUGUCUAAUAACAGCAGUGAAUAUGGACACAUUUCUCGUUUCCUGACAAAAGUUAUAGUGGGAUACAGAUUUUUUCAGACCGUAUUUUCGACCUGCCAAAAUAUGUAUCCCCCCUCCAAAAUCUUCAGAUGAUGGCCUAUCAUCAAUUGUUUUAUUUUUUUGAAUACUUUACAUCAUGUCUAAUAACAGCAGUGAAUAUGGACACAUUUCUCGUUUCCUGACAAAAGUUAUAGUGGGAUACAGAUUUUUUCAGACCGUAUUUUCGACCUGCCAAAAUAUGUAUCCCCCCCUCCAAAAUCUUCAGAUGAUGGACUAUAAUCAAGUGUUUUAUUUUGUGAAUACUUUACAUCAUGUCUAAUAACAGCAGUGAAUAUGGACACUUUUCUUGUUUCCUGACAAAAGUUAUAGUGGGAUACAGAUUUUUUCAGACCGUAUUUUCGACCUGCCAAAAUAUGUAUCCCCCCUCCAAAAUCUUCAGAUGAUGGCCUAUCAUCAAGUGUUUUAUUUUUUUGAAUACUUUACAUCAUGUCUAAUAACAGCAGUGAAUAUGGACACAUUUCUUGUUUCCUGACAAAAGUUAUAGUGGGAUACAGAUUUUUUCAGACCGUAUUUUCGACCUGCCAAAAUAUGUAUCCCCCCCUCCAAAAUCUACAGAUGAUGGCCUAUCAUCAAGUGUUUUAUUUUGUGAAUACUUUACAUCAUGUCUAAUAACAGCAGUGAAUAUGGACACAUUUCUUGUUUCCUGACAAAAGUUAUAGUGGGAUACAGAUUUUUUCAGACCGUAUUUUCGACCUUACCCUAUGUACCUUAGCUGCAAUGCGCUUUACAUAAUGUUUCAAUAAUCCGAGGAAAGGAGUUUCCCCACUGUGUAUAGCUAUGCAAUACUCGUUCCCAACACUCAGGGAACCGAGGUUACGUUAGUAACCGAGUAAGUUGUCAAUGUCAAUUUUAUUUAUAUAGCACCAUUAAUCCCAACGGAGGUUGUCCAAUGUGCUGCACAUACUGUAGUAGACAUAAUAAGACAAUACAAUACAAUAAAAAAAUAUAUAUAUAUAUAAAAACCGUAUAAUAAAAAACUUACAAUACAACUUCCUAGUUAUGACCUAUCCACCGAGGAGCUCUAUAAAGAUGUGAAAAGCUUACUAAUCUAACAAAAAAACAAAAUGUGAUAACAUAAAUGAGAACAUUUGGUAGUUUUUAUUAGUCUUUUGUUUUUGUUACAGUUUAAAAAUGCAUACCUGGUGGCAUUGACCCCUACUGUGUGUGACAAAAUUUUAAAUUUUUAAUAUUGUUAUUUUCUUUCUUCAGGGCAUUUAUGCGAAACAAGGGAUGCAAUGUCUCAAGGUGGAUAUAUGACACAGUCCCACAUCCCAAACAAUCGGACAGUACCUCGUGUGGAGUCUUUGCCUUGAAAUGAUGUUUACUAUUCAGAGCAGUGUCCUCACCCUCACAUUAUAAUAUGACCAUUGUUCAGUUAAGACUGUUACCCUAAAACUAUAAAGUUAUUCACUGACAGCAGAUUUAUGUCUCUGUAACAUGAUUUUUUAAUGUAAUCAUAAAAUGUCCUUUUCAGUUUGCAGAAGAACUUUUGAAACAUGAGACGGUAGAUUUUCCUGCUACGAAAGAGGCUGUCAUCAUGCACAGGCUGCAAAUCGCUGUCACUCUUCUCCUAGAGACUGAUGACCUGACUGACAUAUGUCACUUCUGUGGAUCAGAAGGGCCUGAGGCAGAUUUGAGAAUGAAAAUUUGCUGCCUCUUACUGAAGACCCAAAAAUCCAAAUAAUUUGUCUUCCAGAUUCAGUGUGACAUUUGUUUGCGGUGGUUCCACCAUAUGUGCGUUCAAGGCCCACCAACGGAGGAGGCCUUCCUGUGUACUGCUUGUACUACUUAGUUUUGUGUACAUUAUUGUUCUGGAGGAAUUUAUGCAUUAAAUGUUGUUGUAUUACAUUACACCGUCCAAGUUUGUGUCUUCUUAUCUUAAAGUUAUUAUUUUUUGCUUGAAAAAUGGCUUACAAUAUAUUAAUUAAUAAAAUAUUUGCAGAUUAACUUUCUUUCGAUUGAUUAAUAAACUAAUACCUGGUAUGUAUCAGCAUGUCAAAAACAGUCGCCAAAGUUAUUGUCUUACUGUAUAUUUUGUACAUUCAAGUGAUGAAGAAAGUGGACACUGGAUCUACUGUGUGUAUCCUAUUAUACAUUAAAACUGAAAGUGUACUGGAGACUCACUUCAAGUUCAGGCCUAAACUUUAAGAAUUCCUAGAUGCAAAAGGGGAGUAUAAGUGUUCUGGUGUGUGGAAGUGUUCGAUGUUCGUCUUGCAGGAGCUUUGGUGUUUGUUGAGGAGAAACUGAACUGUUUCAUAGUCUGGUGGUGGCAGCGCGGAUGCUCUGGUACCUCCUGCCAGAGGGUAGAAUGGUGAAGUGUGUGUGGGGAGUCCUUCAUGAUGCUGACGACCCUCCAAAUACACUGAGCAUUGCAGAUGUCAUAGAUUGGUGGGAGUGCAGUUCCUAUGAUCUUACUAGCUGUCUUCACUAUCGGCUGCGGUCGGAGGCCCUACAAUUCCCACGCCAGAAAGUGAUGCAACUGACUGAAACACUCUCUAUAGUAUCUCUGUAGAAUGUGGUGAGGAUGGGUGGUGGGGGGCUUUCCUUGCUUUCUUGGCGCCACAGGAAUUGGAGACGUUGAUGGGCCAUCAUCUGUGCAAUAUGGAGAGGGGGUACUUUUUA